rnacentral:sRNA from 1 species
CUUGGUCAUUUAGAGGAAGUAAAAGUCGUAACAAGGUCUCCGUUGGUGAACCAGCGGAGGGAUCAUUACCGAGUUUACAACUCCCAAACCCCUGUGAACAUACCUUACUGUUGCCUCGGCGGAUCAGCCCGCUCCCGGUAAAACGGGACGGCCCGCCAGAGGACCCCUAAACUCUGUUUCUAUAUGUAACUUCUGAGUAAAACCAUAAAUAAAUCAAAACUUUCAACAACGGAUCUCUUGGUUCUGGCAUCGAUGAAGAACGCAGCAAAAUGCGAUAAGUAAUGUGAAUUGCAGAAUUCAGUGAAUCAUCGAAUCUUUGAACGCACAUUGCGCCCGCCAGUAUUCUGGCGGGCAUGCCCGUUCGAGCGUCAUUACAACCCUCAAGCUCUGCUUGGUAUUGGGCUCUGCCGGUCCCGGCAGGCCUUAAAAUCAGUGGCGGUGCCAUUCGGCUUCAAGCGUAGUAAUUCUUCUCGCUUUGGAGGCCCGGGUGUGUGCUUGCCAGCAACCCCCAAUUUUUUCAGGUUGACCUCGGAUCAGGUAGGGAUACCCGCUGAACUUAAGCAUAUCAAUAAGCGGAGGAAAAGAAACCAACAGGGAUUG